CCCCACCUACAGGAGGCGGGUUCUAGUCCCGCCUACAGGAGGCGGAGACCUUCCAACGGGGCGGAGCAAUAGAUAGAAAAAGAUUAAUUACAAGAGGCGGACCUCCACAUAGUGUAUUGGCGGUCGACCAAUCGGGCACAUUCUCAGGAUAUCAGCUGACCAUUCCGGGGAUCUCAUCAUUUUGACCAUCAUUGAGAAAACUGGAGUGGGGGUUAGUGGACGUGUUGGAAAAUGGCUCUCAGUUAUCCACCGUAUUUCUCCUACUUCGGAAGUAGAUGCAGGAAGACAAAGAGACAGACGUGCUGAGGCCCAAUGGAGAAAACAACACAAAAGGAGUUACAACAUCAGACUGGUGAUAGAAGGAUGACUCAACAAGACCCUACGGCUUUGCCAUGAAGAGAGGUUACACAGGCGGAGGCUGUUCAAACAGUUGCUCUACAUGACGACAACGACAACAGUCACAAGAAAGAGUUGAACUUGGACGGCAGUCAGAUGACUAGCAACAGCAGCUUUAAAAUGCAACCCAGGCUCAACUAGUCUAUCACCUCAACAAAACGGGAAUCAAUGUAUAUGUAGUCAGGCCUGCUAAUCAGUUCCAGGACUGAUUCUGUGGAACUGGUAAACUUGUUUUAAAAUUAAGACUAACAGAAUUACAAACAGAAAGUUUCUUCUUGGAUGUAUUGUCAAGAAUAGAUUCACUCUUAUGGAAGAAUAUCUUUAGUUAUAAAACAAAAAUGUCCUGUUCUACAAGUUUUUAUAACCUGAAU